rnacentral:rRNA from 1 species
AAGUCGUAACAAGGUUUCCGUAGGUGAACCUGCGGAAGGAUCAUUAUUGAAUGAACUUGGUGUGGUUGUUGCUGGCCCUUUCGGGGGCAUGUGCACACCCAUCAUCCUCAUCUCUCCACCUGUGCACCUCUUGUAGACUUGGAUUGACUUUCCGAGGCAACUCGGUCGGGAGGACUUGCUGGCAYUAGCUGGCUUUCCUUGCAUUUCCAAGUCUAUGUUUUUUCAUAUACCCCAUUGAAUGUAACAGAAUGUAACAUAUUGGGCCUUUGUGCCUAUAAAAACUUAUACAACUUUCAGCAACGGAUCUCUUGGCUCUCGCAUCGAUGAAGAACGCAGCGAAAUGCGAUAAGUAAUGUGAAUUGCAGAAUUCAGUGAAUCAUCGAAUCUUUGAACGCACCUUGCGCUCCUUGGUAUUCCGAGGAGCAUGCCUGUUUGAGUGUCAUUAAAUUCUCAACUAUUAUCAGCUUUUGCUGAUGAUGGCUUGGAUAUGGGGGUUUAUUUUGCUGGCUUCACAGARUGUCAGCUCCCCUUAAAUGCAUUAGCCGGUGCCCCGCGUGGACUGUCUAUUGGUGUGAUAAUUAUCUACGCCGUGGACAUCUACAAUCAUAUGGGUUUGYRCUGCUUCCAACCGUCUGUUUACUCAGACAAUACAUGACAAUUUGACCUCAAAUCAGGUAGGACUACCCGCUGAACUUAA